UACUCGAGUGGCGAACGGGUGAGUAACACGUGGGUGAUCUGCCCUGCACUCUGGGAUAAGCCUGGGAAACUGGGUCUAAUACCGGAUAGGACCAUGCUUUAGUGUGUGUGGUGGAAAGUUUUUUCGGUGUAGGAUGAGCCCGCGGCCUAUCAGCUUGUUGGUGGGGUAAUGGCCUACCAGGGCGGCGACGGGUAGCCGGACUGAGAGGUUGGUCGGCCACAUUGGGACUGAGAUACGGCCCAG
rnacentral:rRNA from 1 species